rnacentral:rRNA from 1 species
GAUGAACGCUGGCGGCGUGCUUAACACAUGCAAGUCGAACGAAGCACUUCAUAAAGUUACUUUAAGAAGUGACUUAGUGGCGGACGGGUGAGUAACGCGUGGGUAACCUGCCUUACACAGGGGGAUAACAGUUAGAAAUGACUGCUAAUACCGCAUAAAACAGCAGAGUCGCAUGACUCAACUGUCAAAGAUUUAUCGGUGUAAGAUGGACCCGCGUCUGAUUAGCUGGUUGUGGGGUAACGGCCUACCAAGGCGACGAUCAGUAGCCGGCCUGAGAGGGUGAACGGCCACAUUGGGACUGAGACACGGGCCCAAACUCCUACGGGAGGCAGCAGUGGGGAAUAUUGGACAAUGGGCGAAAGCCUGAUCCAGCGACGCCGCGUGAGCGAUGAAGUAUUUCGGUAUGUAAAGCUCUAUCAGCAGGGAAGAAAACGACGGUACCUGACUAAGAAGCCCCGGCUAACUACGUG